GUCUUUACCUGACAUUGGACAUACCAAGAUGACUAAGGUGGGAUUAUCAGGACGAGGCUGUCCAUUGCAUUCCAGGUGUGUUGACUCCUGCAAUUUGUCCAAAUGCGGGAAGCUCAACUGUAUGAUUUAUGGUAGUGAGGGACUGCGUUUGCGUUCUCUGG